UCAUGGUAUUAAGUGUUUAGACCACAAGCACAGCCUCCUCCAUUCGACAUUAGAAGUAAUAAAAUUCACACAUUAUCGAACACCUAUUGUUCCACAGAUCAGUGGAGAUAAAUUAUUAUUAUUCAACUCGCGAUAUCAAUCGCUAUUCUAUUUUCAGUGAUGCGUCUGGUGGAUUUGCAAUGUUGAUUGGGGCAUAAACUUUGAGGUUAACAUGUUUAUCAUCGAAAGUGCCUAGUUAUGAUAAUAGAACAGGAGGAGUGACGAAAAUACGUAAAUCAAGAUGCGAUCGAGGGGAGUGGGGCGGAGAGGGGGGGGGGGAGGAAGAUUGUUCGGCAUGGGAUCGUGAUUUAUACGCUCACUUUUAACUCUUUAAACUGGUAAAAGGAGAAUUCAUGAUGAAAAAAAGAAUAACAAAAAACUAAAAAUAGAGAAAUAUUCAGUUGGUAACUGCUAUGAUGCUGCGGGAAGUUGUACGACAGAUUUGUGGUUAAAACAGCAAAACCUUGAGCUCUCUUGAAACUUCCGAGAACACACACACAUACAUAUACAUACACACGAAUGGCUUCUGACAUCGAGCGUAUUUGAGCUUUUGGCAUGGGUGAAAAUAGAUGAUAGUUGAAGUAUGAUUUACGAUAAACCACGUUGAUCUAAUGGUAUCAAUCUCUCGUUGUCAUUUCUCACUCUCCAACUCCUGAAAAUACACAUCUCCAAAUUUAUCUCAGUGCCCGAAAAUUAGUAUGUAAUGAAAUAACAUCAACCUUGGAGAAUAAAUUGUAUCUGGUUCUAUUCACCACUAGAUGCCAAGCUCAUUUCCACCCGAAUCAGGGAGUUUGAUUAUCAGCAUUUUGCCAUCUCCAAGCCACCUACUGGCCCGCGGAGGAGCCAUCAAUUCGUGGAUUUCAUUAAUUAAUUGAUUACAUUGGAGACAAGACAUAGAGUUUUGUGAUCUCGAUGGAGAACUUUCACGACUGAAUGAUGAAUCGCCUCGUUAAAAUCUAAUGCCCACGCGCGUCCACUCUCUCACUCCAGUGAAUUUUACUGUCUCCAUUCAACCUCAUUCUCCAGUAUUUCGCUGAAAAAGCCACGAAUCUGUUUGAUCCCGUGGCUUUUUCCCCGCUGUUGUGGAUCUUUUUUUUAUGAUUCAUCAAACGAGUAAUUAAUCAUUCCCUCUUUUCAAAGUUACACAUUCCCUUAUUGAAGGUUGGAGGGGCCCGUACUUGUGUAUCUCUCGAUGUGUGCAUUGACGUCUGUUGCUAAGUGCUUUGGGAAAAACUGCGGCUACUAAAAAUUGUGUAAUUGCAGAAAACACUGUCGAGCAGUUGGCAAAUUUGAAUGGGAAUGCGAGAGGGGCUUUCAAAGCCCCGAACCAACCCCAGAAGGAGAGAAUGAAAAAAAAAAAAAAAGAGAGUGCUCUACAUACAGUUUAAUGAGAGCUGAAUUAACAAAAAUUGCGGUGUGUGUUUUUUUGGCAGAUGUAUGCACACAAAGUUACAAAGGACAUAGACGAUAUAUUUCCGCUCAGGCGCAGCGCCAAAAGAGACGCCAACACAUGCUUCGAAUUAUAAGGGAAUUAGGGACUGCGAAAGGUUUAAUUUGUUUUCACAUACCGUAGUAAUAGCAUUGAGGCAUGGCGAGAGAGUGAGAGGGACAAGGAGAGGAUGUGAAGGGAUGAAAGGGAAUUGAAAGGAUCCUUCCUUCGGUGGCGUUACGUCACGGGUGGUCGGUGGACAGUUUCACUUUGGGUCUGCCGCCAUCAUUGCCGGGGAGGUAUAUUACCCCUGUGCGCGCACGUUUAUAUUCCUGAGCCCUCGGUGGGCAAUGCGCAGGGAUGAUGCUUGCGAUUUAUGUCGACGCUGGUGUGCGGUGAACGCUUGCGGUUGUAGGGGGCGGCCAAGAGCAAAGGGCUGAAGGACAAACGGAUACGGUCGGCGUACGCUCAAGUUGCCUUGCUCAAUGUGUCCAGGAUGAUUUAGCAGUUGAACUUUACUACAGCACUUCUCCACUUGCAACCUGUCUUCUCUGUAAGUCAAUGAGAGUAAUACUUUGCUUGAAUAAUAGCCUCUCCCUUUUAGUCGAAAUUUGAGUGCUUUCGAGUAAUGAACUUGGUGGUGGAUGUUUGGUGAUCAUUGAAUUUUCUCUCGUGAUCGUCGACGUGUGUUAUUUGUCGAUUUAUUAUCGCAACUUGGCUUAUCUUCCCAGUGAGCAAACUACUCAACUUGUACAGCACGAAUUUCUUUUAUACUUUCUCGGUGGAAAGAUACGGGGAGUAAAAAAUAAUAGAUAACCCUCAACAAAAUUUUAUGAACAACCGUUCAACUCACCGGGCAAAAUUGUUGCACGCGAAUGACCGUGGGGCGAUUAGAUUUACGGCGAAACCGUGGUCUGAGUCUUCCAUGUGAGAGACUUUAGAAAAGUACAACCGCACCGAGAGCCUCUGCAUCUUUACGACACACCGAGGAAAACAGGUCCAGUGCUUCUGACCCAUAUGAAGUAAAAGAAAAUAGAACAAAUUUUCGAUUUUUAUUAGCUCAGUGGAAAAGUUGACUGCACACACAUACGGUGGUCACACUUAUUCGCCAACUCCCCUUUAACUAGAAUUGGCAAUUUCAGGAAACGCGUUCAUCACUGGCCGCUGCAAACCAAGGAGCCGAGUGAUAUACGAGGCAUUGCAAUUCCACUCGAUCCCUCAGUAUAUCCCAGCGUCUUAGUAGCACACCGUGUCCUUUCUCACACCCUCCUAAGAGCACUACGGUCUCAACCAGAGUUUCAAUCACAACGCCCACAAGGGGAUUCAGCCUCGUCAUCCACCCCACUGUUGACCUUUGUCCAACCAACUCCGCCCUCUCUAGCACAUAACAAUGACAAUCGGCAAUCCCUUUACUUCUCUAAUUAAACAUUUCAAUAUUUUCCUUGGGAUCAAUGGAGAACUAAUCAAAGAUUUAAUCAGUGAGAGAGUAAUCAAGUUAACAAAACCUUCAUGGAAACAGUGAAGACCCUGUGCUAAUCAAAUUUAUUCGCUGGGUAAAAAUACAGCGAGGGACCUGGAUUGUGCCGCUGCUACGGGAAAAGAUCCGAGAUAUCCACCUGCACCGAUGCUAUGGGAGAUGCGUCAGGCGUUUGUGAACGUUCAAAUGCAAUCAGAGAGAUGAGGCAGUACUACAAAUGAGAAAUUGCUUACGAAAUGAUUGAAAAAUAGCUGACCACCGUGGAAUUUGUAGAAUCUGGCGUUUGCAAGAUCUUCACACGGCCGACAAACUUGACGUCUACACUUCCCAUGACAAAGUAAACGAAACUCCUAAGUAUACGUGUAUUUGUUGGGUAGAUGAGCAGAGGACUAUUAAAGUGAUGUUUAUAUGCGGUGCACGGUAGGCGCUAUUAUAUGCAUAUUAUCCAUCCACUCGGCGAUGCCCCCACGAUGCGAUGAAGGCAAUCCCAUGUGUUGUAAUAAUGCGAGAUUCUUCAAAUCCACAUCAACUGUCACCUCAGUAAUUUCUCUGCCAACUUUUACAUGUUAUAAAGUAUCAAAAUAAAGGCUGAGUGGAAGUGGUAGCUUCGUCUGACAUUUACAAUCGGCCAUUUCAUCUUCAAAUUUUCGUGGGUGUGAUAUACAGACUCGCAGUUGAUAUACAUUACUCUCACUAUGUCUCUUCAUUACAUACAUACAUUAACGAACAAUGACCCGCAACUGUCGCCUCAAAAACUCCCGUGAAAUUCUCAACUUUUGUACAGAUUUUCGAGGAAAACAUUUUCAUUCGUUGGAAAUGCAGUCUGCAAAAUUUCAGGUAAAGCCAAUUGGUCGCACAGUUUAUCCCGUCAACUGUACAUCCUGGCCUAGUGGUUUUAGAGAGGAUAAAAGGACUGGUCAGAAGUUUGUAAUGUUGCAGCCAGAUUAAUCGAAUUUCUCUCAAAAUG